GGUCGUUAGCUCAGUUGGUAGAGCAGUUGACUUUUAAUCAAUUGGUCGCAGGUUCGAAUCCUGCACGCCACCA
rnacentral:tRNA from 1 species